rnacentral:lncRNA from 1 species
UUUUAACCAUUUUCAAAAGAAAAAGUAGAAGCAAAAUUAAAAAUAAAAUAAAAUUUAAACUACAUUUAAAUAUUUUUCUUAAAGUGUGAUUUUUUUUUAAAGUUAUUUGUAUAUGAGACUGGAUGGUGUAUUAUAUUGGUGCAUGUUCUAAUUGAUGAUAACAUGGUUGUGUCUUUCCCUUCUUUUAUAAAUCUAAGUUUUAGGCCAUUGUAUUAAACCGAUAUCUUCUUUCUUGAUU